rnacentral:misc_RNA from 1 species
AGCACUAGUUGGUGAAAAAAAUAUGAUAAUGAGAACUGAUACAAGCAGCACUGAUAUAGUUGUAACAGGACCGAUCGAUAGUUUCCACAAAUGGUUCCUUAAGAAUGUACCCUUGAGAUCCCAUCGACGCAACUUGCUUAAGAACCACAGCAUGCCGAUCUUUGAGCAGCUUGAGCAGCCCCUGCCCCCUGAUCUGGUUGAUUAAUCUUGAUUGUCUGAGGCUCGGCUUUUGAAUCAGUAUCAGCGAGUCUUUGUUUAAUAUCCCUAGCUAUUGAGAA